GUCUACGGCCAUACCACCCUGAACACGCCCAAUCCUGUCUGAUCUCGGAAGUUAAGCAGGGUUGGGCCUGAUUAGUACUUGGAUGGGAGAUCACCUAGGAAGACCAGGAGGCAAAAAAA
rnacentral:rRNA from 1 species